AUGAAGCUGCGAAGACGCGACGCCGAAGGCCAUGCGGCCGUGAAGCCGCAACAUUGCAAAGAUGUAGGCCGCGAAGCCGUCAAGGUGAAAGAUGCAAAGCCGCUAGAUUGCGGCACCACAAAAUCAGGAGCUACGAAGCCACAUAGAUGCGUCGCUGGGGGCUGCGUGAUAGCCAAGUACAUAGAUUUCGAGGUCAGGCUACCGAGAGCUAGACUGUCUCCAUCACCGAAAAAGAGCCUGCCUGGAUUUCGUUCUCAAGGCAGCAAGACUCCACAACUCCAGACAAGCUCGGCCGCUACUGAUGGAGGUUUGGUCUUGUGGGCAAACCUUUGCUCUUUAACUGAGUCAGGACUGAAUCUGGUAUAUGGAUAUAGUAAAAAAAUUGGUAUGUGGAGAUCAUGUCGAAGGGGGUUUGAGGAAGAUAAUUCAGUUCGUUCAUUUCAUAACAUUUUGCCGCUAGUACAAACUACUGAACGCACGCCAUCGCUGCCACGCCCGUGCUGGCCCGCCUCUUCCGACUUCGGCGGCAGGUCGGCAGCAACCAGCGGAGGUCUGACCACGACAGUAACAACGAUGCAAACUGCACAAUCUCAGAAUGUAAGUCCUCACAUGCGAUGA
rnacentral:rRNA from 1 species